GCUGUCAACGCAGAGAGGGAACGCAUAACCAGCUGCCAUCAACUCGUCUGACAUCGUGCCAGGGCCACCCUACCAUUGUUUGUGGCAGAACAACGCCUUUCUGCGGCAGAGGAGGUUUGCAGCCUUGCCCUUUGGGAAGGGCAGCCGACUUCGCAGCAGGCCGGAGAGCGCCUGAACGCCAGAGGAAUGCCUUCUCUAAAAAUAGAAGUCCUUUGCAGGGCUUCCUGACUAGCAGUCUUAGCGGCAUCCACACCACGUCUAUGCGUUCUGCGCAGGACCAGCUGCAGGCGCGGUGGGGAAAGAUAAUCUGGGCAGAGGAGCGGCUGCUGGGCAGAGAACCCCGUAGCCUGGGGCCGUCACCAACCAGCACUGGGGCGGACCCCUCCUGAAGGCGGCUGCGGUUAGUGUUACGGGGAAACCAGGCAGCUUGGAGGUUUUGUUUGACUGGCAGAAGGGGCUCCAGAAAGCUCCCUCAACCCAUCCUGCCACGUGAGGACACAUGAACCAAGAGGAAGAUCCUCAUUAGACACGGAAUCUGCUGGUGCCUUGAUCUUGGACGUCCAGAACUAUUUUUUCUUCUGAUUGAUUUGGAGUUUCAUACCAUGGCGGCUGGAAAAGAGGCACCAAAAGCUUCCAUCUUCUUGAAGCUGCGCAUCGUUUGGAAAAUGGGAAAGCGCUGCUCCCGGGGUGCCGCACACUCUCCCUGCAGCCACGAGCCCACGAGCCCACGCCGGCGUGCCAAGACCACAAGGUCCCAAUCACGGGGGACCUGCGUGAGGCCACCCGAGAUCUCAGAACCCAGGAAGGCCGGGUUGGGACGCCAACAUUUCUUACGGGCUAUGACCUGGCCGCCUCUUUUGUCCCCUGCAUUUGCAGAGGAAACAACGGUGGAGGUCAUCCAAACAAGAACGCGAGCUCCAAAUCAAACUUGCCUCCGUCUUUGCAACGCGUCCUUCGAUUUCCAGCUUGCAUUUAUUCACUCAGCACUGCCGGCUUCACGACACGACGCCCGAAGAGUCAGUUGCACGGAAUACAACCAACACUGGGGAGCAGGGAACCUUGGGCCUUGUCCGCACUCACCAGGAUGAUCCUGAAACCUAAUGGUAGCAGUGAGACUGCCGUUAAGUCGCUGACCGGUCGUGAUCUCACGGUUCCACGAGUUCAAGUCCUACAUCGGGAGUCAUGCAGAUGGUGAGGAGGCUGCUUGGAAUUGUCUCUCUCCCUCCCUCUCUCUCUCAAAAUAAAUUAAAAAAAAAAAAAGAAAGAAAGAAAGAAAGAAUCGUUGACUGAGGCUGGGAAUGCCUGCACACAGCCCACUACUCACGUCCAAUCUCUGACAACAGCCGUGCCAAACACAAAGAACUGCAAAUGAAAUUAUCUAAGACACACACACCAACCUCUACGCUGUUGUCUACUGAAGCAAUCUCAAAUCUCAUUUAACAAUCUAUGGAGACCUAUUCAUUUGGGGAAAGAAACCUGCUCUUCAUCAAAGAAUGGGACUUCACCACGAACUUCGGACGGAUCCUUUAAAUGUCACUGCUUACGAAAUAGUCAUAACUGGGAAGGGAGUAGUGGGGAAACAGGGUCAUUCAUCACAGAGUGACCACAGGUUUCCAGCCGGUGCCACAAAGGAUUCCUCACUAUGAUAGGGGAAAAUAGGGUUGUCAUACCCGUCGUAUACACACCUAAAGUACUAGGUCUGAAGGAAGACUAGGAAAGCACUAAACACCAGCCAUGACAUCAGCACAGAUAUAUCAAUGUCACAAAAUUCCACAGCAUUUGAAUCAUGUCAGUGGUUCACGUAAUUCACUGCCUUCUCCCUCUCUUCCCCCCCCCCCGCCGGCCAUCUCCCACCCAGCCCCGACACUGGCAACCACAAGCUAGCUGACGGUCCUCAUUCUUUGUCCUUUUGUUUGUGUCACAUGAGGUGUCCUCUCAGACCAAACAUUGUGGAGGGAGUAAAAAAGAGGCAAACACCACCAUAGUUUGGAAGGCUCUUUAAUAGCAAGCAUAUGGUAACUACAUGGGUGGAUGAGAUCCUCUCUCGCAGGGGAGAGAGGCAGGUGCAGAUGCAGACAGGGAUCGGUUUAGGAUUUACACUGCCGGAGGCAUCUAAAACAAAGGGCAACAAUUUUUUGGCAACCCAUUUCACAGUUUUGUAAUGUACAAGAGAUUCCGCGGAAAGGAAAUAUAAAGGCAAAGAAAGCAUACACACCUUGCAUGAAACGUUUCUGCCUAAGGAAAAAGAAACCCAAAACUGUUCCUUGAUUUUGCUUCUCAAGUAGAUGACUCAACUCUGCUCUCACACACCAGUUAAGACUGGCCCACAGAUAGUGUCAGAUUUUCCCUGGGGUGGACGAUUUGCUUUCUCCUCUAAAAAGCCGACCGGGGUGCACGGUACUGCUCUGUGUCUUUAUCCAUCUGGCUCUCAGAAGGUACUUAAAGAAUGACUCUUCAGCAACAAAAACGAAACAAAAGAAAAAACCAGGGAAAGGCAGUUUUACAAAGAACAGACUACCCGCCUUCUCUGCAGUACCGAGGAAUUUGAAUCCAGUUCUCAGUAAAUUAAAUGUUUAUUUUCGUGUGGCCCGGUGCACGCUCUCAACGGCUUGUGCCCAUUCGGCCACACAGUGCUUUACAUGAGGCUUCUCACAUGUAACGCUCACGGGCCCUCUGUUUUUAUAAUACGCAUUUAAAUAAAAAUAUCGACGACAACAUAUUAUUUAACGAUUUGUCCGGGGAACACGAGCUAUAGAUAUUUUGCCAUGGACACGACGUUGCCAUGGACACCGGAGGCUCCCGGCAUACUGGCAAGUUUUAGAUAUGCUGUAGAGAAUCUAAGCAACUUCAGCCUUUCGUGUCAUACCUGGUGUCACAAAACCAAGGCAACUAAUUGGGUCUUUGUGGAAGAGGAUGAGUUUUUAAUUACAAACACCAAACCAAACAAAAAACUCUCAGGCUUCUCUGGUCAUCUGAAGCAAUAGGCCGGGGCACCUCUUCGGGGUGAACACUCAUUAUAGGGAAGAGGGAUCUGUGAGCCCCUUGAGAUUUCAUUGUGCUCUUUCUACCACCCUCAAGCACCUUGGAGUCAGUGGGCGGGCUCUGCCCUCCAGCCCCUGGCCGCCUCCACACCGAGGGCAAGAUCCAGUCUGGUUCACGUUCCCCCUGCCAGGUGAUGAGAGCCCUCAGAUCCGUUGGCACUUUGGGAAGACAGGCUUCUCUGGCUGACGGCUGGCUUAUUGAGGAAAACUCCACCAUAUUUGCAGGACGCGCCCGCGGUCUCCUUGGCGGGGGGGGGGCAUCUGCAAAGCCACAAAGCCACCCCCGACACAGGCCUCGCCUCUCAACAUUCAGGCCAUCCCUUUGAGGACAGCGGGCUCCUAGCGUGAAUGCCAUGAAGACAGUCUUCCUGUACCUUACGUGACAACUGCCUUCGGGCUUUUUCUUUUCUUUUAAGAAUCGGACUCCCUAACUCUCCCAUUCUCCCUCUCUCAUCUCCUCCCGCCCCAGAUUAAGUCCCGCCUGUUCCCAUGUGCCUCUCGCACCGUGGGAAAUCGGGUGUGUUCAUACCGGUUUCCCAACCUGUGAAUUUUCACGUGCAAGGUAGAUUUCUAAAAUAUGAAUUCCGACAAUGCUCUGCAAGCACAGCCCCCCCCUAGGUCCAUCCACUUUGUGCUCUUAGGAGACAGACACAACAGUUAGAGACGUAGUUGUGCUGGAGGAAGGGUUUCCAUUUGUGUGUGAAAAAUGACAGUAGCUACGAGAGGAGAGAGAUUUUUCACGGAAGGACACGAAACCUAGUUCUGGCAACCAGGACACAAGGAGGAUUCCUAAAUCAAAGACUUUUCAUGUUCUAGUCACAUAAAAAAAAAAAAGAAAAAAAAAGUCCUACGUGCUGCUAUGAGCCUGGGAGACUUGAGGGGACGUCUCCGUGUACUUGAAUCCGGGGUGCUGGCGGGCAUCGCGUGGGGUCCCACCUCCCUCCCUGGCUCCCUAACUCAUUCUGCGACUCCCCGAAGUGCGCUCAGUAGGACCAUCAGGCAGAGACAGGGACCAGUUGCCAUACGGAAAAUGUCUCUCAAACCCAGGAUCAAGGUUUUUUCAUGUCGCCAGAGGCCUGACUUCACAGCUGGCCCACAAUGACCAACAAGCCACCGAUCGCCACCCCCCCCCCACACACACGUGGGCCACCACCAUUCGCACAUCUACGCGCACUCACACACAUUCUCUCUCGCGCUUUUCUUUCUACUGGAUGACACGGCAAAAAAGCAAAAGUAUUCCUCUUCCACUCUCUUCCAGCUACUCUUCAGGGAACUUAUUCCACUUCCGAAGCCACCGUCUAUCAGGGCACAAGGAAAAGCUAUGCCUUCCAAUGACGAAGCCUGCCUAUCCGGGACAAGUGUGUUUCUAGAUCUUCAGAAGCCUUACUUUACCCUCUUGUCUAAGGGACAGGAAGUCAUCAGCCCCUCGGGAUCACGCUUGAGGGGGUUUCAACACUCACAGACCAACAGAAACAUACUCCAAGGUGGUCCUGUGGCCAGGAUCCUCAGGUUAGCAUCGUGGCGUGAUUCAAAGUGUAUUUCUUUCUCAUUUCCCUAAAGCUUUCCUUGACGGUUGCUCUCCACACACACACACACACACACGUCAUAAGGCAGUUAUGGGGCGACCGUGGUGGAAGCAGGAAGGGAAAACACCCCUUGUUUCAGGCAAGUUAGGUGAUUUGCCCAAGGUCACACGGUCACCGGCAGAGCCAGGACUAGAACCCAGGUCUCUGUCCUGACUCCUGGGCCGGCGCUCCUUCCGCUGCACCACACUGCCUCUUCGUGAGUGUUCUAUGUUCGGGAAAGUCAGGAAUGUGUCUAACUAUGGAAGCUCUUCCGUGACAACCACCGCAGGCGGCCUGCCUCGCUGACCCAUCCGGGUGGAGCUCUGCACCAGGCGAGCUCUGACGCCGCACACACAACGCACAGCCAGGUGGGCGUGAGCGUGUGCACGGGCGUGGGUGUGCACAAUCAGAGGAAAGGGAGUUGGAGAGGAAACAGUCCGAUGCGCUGAUGCCUUCAGUGGUCUGGCCUUGGAAAUAAGUAACAUGCAGCAAUGGCAUCCUCAACCCCGGGGGCAGAACAAAGACGAGAUUUCUCCUCAGCCCAGUGACCGGCUGAGCUGACCUCGGGGCGGUUUUUAUAAACAGAGACAUUAACAUGAUAAUACCAGAGCGCAUGUGGUCAAAGCCUAAACGCUUUCUCAUAAAAUACAUUUUUCUAUUAACGUCCACGUUCGAACAUAUGGAAACUCAGAUUUUGAGCCUCUCCGUGUAAAAUUCCAGUGUCCCUCGUCAAGCUUCUUCAUUUCAGUGGCAGAAGUCGUUCUUACUCUUUCAGCCCGUGGAGUCAACACGGUGUCAACACAGAGGCCACCACACCUGAGUGGCAUCUACAGAACACAAUCACCCGCGCUCGGGUACGGGGCCGGUCGGAACACGGGGAGCAAAGCACGGGAUACGCUCACCCCGCUGGGUGAAACACCCAGGUGUGUCGUGUGAACAGGCGACUCGGAGGGACAUCAUUCCACUGGAGGCUAACCUUCGAUCUGGUUUUUCCGAGCAAGGAAAAACACGCGGGUCCCGAAGCACGGAUGGAAACCACCGCAUUGUUUCACCCGAUGACUUAAAACCGCAGCGCGCGGUUCUGCCACAAGCAGCCGUGCUCGCCACGGCACCGAUCAAUUAAACAGAAAAUGUUAGCUAAGCAGGUUGACACUGACAUGCCUGGAAGAUACACAAGACUCCCCUAAGCUCUGUGCUCUCCGCUGCUGCUGCUUUUUUUAUUUCUAAUUUUAUUAUUUCUAAUCCCAAACUAUGACCACCUCGCAGGCAUGUGUGUGCAUGUUAAAAUUCCCACCCCAGAUGCUACGUUUAGUUAAGGGCUGUGGAAGAGGCAUUCUGCGUCCUAAGUUAUCGGCACGAGAGAUGCAGAGAGGUCCAAGAAAAUGAAUUACUUUAAAUAACUCCACCUUAGCGUUCCAAAGGAUUUCCCUUGGAAACGUUAUUUGUUGGCUGAAUACUGACAGCAGUGUUUCCAAUUAUUAAGUAGUUGUUUCUGUGAGUUGUCUUAGUAGUUUGAUCAUUAGAACUUCCCCCCUUUGAACCAAGCUAACCCACGACUGAAAGAUUCUCAUGUUCCUAUCGCUUUAAAAAGUCACGGCAGUUAGGUUCCUCGAAGCACCUGAUGACAUUUGUUUUUUUUUUUUUAAUAA